CCAUCCUGUUUGCUUUGCUUGGCCUUUGGAGAGGAAUUGAAUAUUCUCAUCUAAUGGAGCAAACACACACUAUCUCUCGCGUUCUAGAGAAGAGUUUAGAAAUGUGGGGUUGGAACUAAGAGACUCAGGAGAGAGAGAGAGAGAGAGAGAGAGAGAGCACAAAUAGGUGGAAUGGCAGAGGGGGAAGGAGGAGCAGGCUCCCCGCUGAACAAGGAGCCCAGAGUGAGACUUGAUCUCAGGACCUGGGGAUCAUGACCUGAGCCGAAGCCAGAUGCUUAACCAACUGAGCCACCGAGCUCUGCUAGGUCCUGGGUUGUCUAUGGGAGCAGCCUUGUGAUCACUGAACACAGCUUGGCUAAAGGAGGAACACGUCUGUGAUGAGGACGACUUGGAUAAGGCUCUGUUAAGUCCUGGGAAGCAGCGCCCUGAGAAGGGUCAGACAUGCAUUGUUUGCAUCCAUGAGCGUGGCUGUGCUUCUGCUCUUCAGGAGGAAGAGAGGAGAUAUAAUCGAUAGAAGAAGAAGAAGAAGAAGAGAGAAAAGGAAAGAAGAAAAGAAAAGAAAGAAAAGAGAAAAGAAAAGAAAAAGAAAAGAAAAGAAAAGAAAAGAAAAGAAAAGAAAAGAAAAGAAAAAAAAGAAAAGAAGAGAAAGAAGAAAAGUUGGGACCACAGAAACCUGGAGCUCCAGCGCUGAGCACGUCACAGGUCCCGUCCUUCAUGAAUCGGGUGGAGGAGUUUAAUUACAGCCACAGAGGAGCUGUGCGCCAGAGCUGGGAAGGAAAGGAGAGCCUUUCUCAGGAAGUCCCAUCGCUUGGCUGAGGUUGGGGGCUGCCUGCGUGGAGAGAUAAGCCUCGCUGACAAACCAAGAGCAGCUUCAGUUCGUUGGUUUUCUGCAAGCUGAACCUCUGGGCUCGGGGCAAACGCCAGAGAAAGCCCCUGCACCCUCCUUUAUUGCAAAAUAACAUCAGCUUUCACUUCACUGUCCACAGUCUAUACAGAUCCCUUGAACAAACAGGUCUAUUGUUGGUUCGUUAAUGAGCACGUAAGGAGCACAUCCUAUGUUAUGUGCCAGCUGCUGUGUUCAUUUCUGGAGACGUGAAAACAAACAGGGCAAUGGUCCCAUCUCCUAAGGUAUUCUCAAUCAUUUAGGGGAACCAGAGGGCCAAACAGUUGGAGCCGUGAUGGAGCAAUGCUGCCCUGGUGGAGAAACCUGUUCCAGAGCCUCUUUUUCAGAAUCACGGAAGACCUUCACCACCUCCCUUUAAACACAGGGCAGUUGUCCAUAUAGCAAACCCCUGGCUUACAGGGUGAUGGGAUCUACCGUGAGGCCUUUUGGAGGAGUUGUCAGGAGCGUGGGGGUCUUGGAGUCGAUCAGAUCCUGGAUCGGGAUUCUGGCUCCGCUAACUCCAAAUUGUGUACCCUCAGCAAGUUUCUUCAGGCAGACGGUAAUAGUGCCUGCUUCGUGAAGCAGAACGUUAAAGCUUUAAAGUGCACACGAAUCACCUGGGGGAUCUUGUUAAAAAUGCAGAUUCUGAUUCAGGAGGUCUGGGCUGCAGCUCAGACAACAAGCUCCCAGAUAGCGUCAAUGCUGCUCAUCCGAGGACCACACUUUGAAUAGAAAGACCAUAGGGACGCCUGGGUGGCUCGGUGGUUGAGCGUCCGCCUUCAGCUUGGGGUGGGAUCUAGUCCCACAUGGGGCUCCCUGCAUGGGGCCUGCUUCUCCCUCUGCCUGUG